GACGAACGCUGGCGGCGUGCUUAACACAUGCAAGUCGAACGAAGUGGCGAACGGGUGAGUAACGCGUAAUCAACCUGUCCUUCAGAGGGGGACAACAGUUGGAAACGACUGCUAAUACCGCAUACUUAAGUAUGGGAUUUCGUCUGUUGAGCUAGUUGGAGGGGUAACGGCCCACCAAGGCGAUGAUCAGUAGCCGUUCUGAGAGGAUAAACGGCACAUUGGGACUGAGACACGGCCCAGACUCCUACGGGAGGCAGCAGUGGGGAAUCUUCCGCAAUGGACGAAAGUCUGACGGAGCAACGCCGCGUGAGUGAUGACGGCCUUCGGGUUGUAAAGCUCUGUUAAUCGGGACGCGGUACCGGAAUAGAAAGCCACGGCUAACUACGUGCCAGCAGCCGCGGUAAUUC
rnacentral:rRNA from 1 species